ACAACCUAUCUAAUCAAAGCAAACUACAAAAUGGUGUGGACGAAUUAUGAUUUAGUAGUCUGAACUUGGGACUUCAUUGUUAACAUCCUUGUGCAAGGCAAACAACAAUAAACAUUUAAGUGAUUUCAAUAAUCAGAAGUGUGUGUCUGUUCUUAAUGUGGUAUAGCAUACCUCCAACCCUAACUGCAGUUCACGUCAUUGCUUUCAUAAAAUGCAAUGCAGAACUAGCCUUCUCCAGCAAGGAUAAAGAUCAAUAGGGGAGCAUAGUGAAAGUUGGCAGAGUAAGAACUGACACAACCUACCUUACAGCACAGCCAAGUUAAGACCUUGGAAUCAUCUAGCCUGAAGAACUUCAUAUUAGCAACUUCUGCAGGAAAGAUAACAUCAAAACCAAAUAAUUCUGUAAGAUUUAUUGGAUAUGUUCUCACAGUAUGCAAGUACAGAAAUAAUUUGUGCCAUAAACAACAAAAAAGGGUAAAAGUUAUUGUGUCUGGCAGUAAAACCGGUAGGAAACCAUCAUCCAAGAAAAAGAAAACAAGAUCGCAUUUAUGAACUGUCUAAUGUAUAGUAACAUUGUAGUUUCGGACACAAGCAGUAGCAAGUGGUCAAAGGGUCAAAGGGAAAAAGAAAACAAGCAGUAGCAAGUUUCGGACACAAGCAGUAGCAAGUGGUCAAAGGGAACAACUGACAGGUUGCAACUUGCAAGGGAGUACUAGUAACUAACAAUGUCACAGCAACUUGAUAUCGUUGUAAUUGUACAUCAAAUAUAUAUUCCAAAGACCUACCUUUAACUUCACAAACCAGUUCCAUAUGCUUUCCUGCUAUGCUCAUGAGGUGCUGAUAUCCAGGAUAACCUUCGAUGUAUAAAAUUUCAUCCAGCUGUCUGAAUUUUCCCAGAUCCUUACCGUUCUGCGACACGGGAAAAGGAAUUGCUUUUAAAUUGAAAAAAAAAGCUAGAUGAAAUAUGAAUCAUGUACAAUAAAAUGUAUCUUUGACCACACAUACCGACAUACGUGCAGCUUCGAAAAGUGGUAGAAGAAUGAAGAUGGGGUCAACAAGUGUGCAAUAGUAAACGCUACCAUCUGUAGGAAGGAAAGCAGGAUUCAAUAGCAAAACCAGGUUUGCUGAGGCAAGGUAACAAACCAACAAACCACAUAAGCUGCCUAUAGGAAACGACAAUAAGUUAUGGGCUUCACCCCUAAGGAAAAUAAAUCAAGUUUUGCAGAGCAAUGG